rnacentral:rRNA from 1 species
CCUACGGGAGGCAGCAGUGGGGGAUAUUGCUCAAUGGGGGGAACCCUGAUGCAGCGACGCCGCGUGGGUGAAGGAGCGUUUCGGCGCGUAAAGCCCUUUUGGUAGGGAAGAAAAUGACGGUACCUGACCAAGAAGCCCCGGCUAACUACGUGCCAGCAGCCGCGGUAAUACGGAGGGGGCAAGCGUUAUCCGGAUUUACUGGGUGUAAAGGGGGCGCAGGCGGGAAUGCAAGCCAGGAGUGAAAGCCUGGGGCUUAACCCUGGGACUGCUGUUGGAACUGUAUGGCUGGAGUACAGGAGGGGCAGGCGGAAUUCCUGGUGUAGCGGUGAAAUGCGUAGAGAUCAGGAGGAACACCGGUGGCGAAGGCGGCCUGCUGGACUGUGACUGACGUUGAGGCGCGAAGGCGUGGGGAGCAAACAGGAUUAGAUACCCCAGUAGUC